ACUCAAAUGAAUUGACGGGGGCCCGCACAAGCGGUGGAGCAUGUGGUUUAAUUCGAUGCAACGCGAAGAACCUUACCUGGUCUUGACAUCCACGGAAGAAUCCAGAGAUGGAUUUGUGCCUUCGGGAACCGUGAGACAGGUGCUGCAUGGCUGUCGUCAGCUCGUGUUGUGAAAUGUUGGGUUAAGUCCCGCAACGAGCGCAACCCUUAUCCUUUGUUGCCAGCGGUCCGGCCGGGAACUCAAAGGAGACUGCCAGUGAUAAACUGGAGGAAGGUGGGGAUGACGUCAAGUCAUCAUGGCCCUUACGACCAGGGCUACACACGUGCUACAAUGGCGCAUACAAAGAGAAGCGACCUCGCGAGAGCAAGCGGACCUCAUAAAGUGCGUCGUAGUCCGGAUUGGAGUCUGCAACUCGACUCCAUGAAGUCGGAAUCGCUAGUAAUCGUGGAUCAGAAUGCCACGGUGAAUACGUUCCCGGGCCUUGUACACACCGCCCGUCACACCAUGGGAGUGGGUUGCAAAAGAAGUAGGUAGCUUAACCUUCGGGAGGGCGCUUACCACUUUGUGAUUCAUGACUGGGGUGAAGUCGUAACAAGGUAACCGUAGGGGAACCUGCGGUUGGAUCACCUCCUUACCUUAAAGAAGC
rnacentral:rRNA from 1 species